rnacentral:rRNA from 1 species
AUUGAACGCUGGCGGCAUGCUUUACACAUGCAAGUCGAACGGCAGCACGGGGGCAACCCUGGUGGCGAGUGGCGAACGGGUGAGUAAUGCAUCGGAACGUGCCCAGUAGUGGGGGAUAACGCGUCGAAAGAUGUGCUAAUACCGCAUACGCACUACGGUGGAAAGCGGGGGAUCGUAAGACCUCGCGCUAUUGGAGCGGCCGAUGUCCGAUUAGCUAGUUGGUGGGGUAAUGGCCUACCAAGGCAACGAUCGGUAGCUGGUCUGAGAGGAUGAUCAGCCACACUGGGACUGAGACACGGCCCAGACUCCUACGGGAGGCAGCAGUGGGGAAUUUUGGACAAUGGGCGCAAGCCUGAUCCAGCCAUGCCGCGUGAGUGAAGAAGGCCUUCGGGUUGUAAAGCUCUUUCGGCCGGAACGAAAUCAUCCGGGCUAACACCUCGGAUGGAUGACGGUACCGGAAGAAGAAGCACCGGCUAACUACGUGCCAGCAGCCGCGGUAAUACGUAGGGUGCAGGCGUUAAUCGGAAUUACUGGGCGUAAAGCGUGCGCAGGCGGCUUCCUAAGUCAGAUGUGAAAUCCCCGGGCUUAACCUGGGAACUGCGUUUGAAACUGGGAGGCUAGAGUGCGGCAGAGGGGGGUGGAAUUCCACGU